ACAAAAAGUGUUCUUUAUUUGAUGUAUGUAAUUAUGAGAGGGGAGACCCGAAAAAUUGAAAAUAGCCCCCCCCUUGAUGUUUCAUCAAAACCGCCACUGCAACCCACCCAUCGUAAUACGACUAUUAACGACCACACAAUAAAAAACUUUCCGAAUCAAUAUGAUAAGGAAUCGGAGCGCUGACAUAACUCAGUAAAACCAGGACAUAGAGUAAUAUAGGUAUUAGUACUAUAGUAGGGCCUAUAUAGGUUCCUUAUUCCGAAGUCCGAACAAUCGCAUACUUCCUCGGUGCGGCCAGGCGUACGACACUCCGUGAAUUGGUCGGGACGGGCGAUUGGGGCCCUGAAAAUGGUAUCUAGAGAUAAAGUAAACGAAAUCUGAAUAAUGAAUACUGAAUGGUAAACAAGCCGACCCCGCGCAGCGUACCCAGCCUACGUGGAAGUGAACGUUUACAUAAUACCAGUAUACCACUUUGGGUCUAACAUCAUAUUGGUAAACGUUUCCUUGUUUUUCGGAGGUUCAGACAUCAGAUCAUAGCCCAUAGGUAAACAAGACCCCAACCAGCUGAUCGCGUGUCGCUUCUAUAUUGUUCUAUUGUGCGGCAGAACCGUCGCGCGUCGCUGCAUUAUCUCGCAUUUUUAUCUUUAUCAUUAUCGUUGUUGUUUAUCCGAAAAAUUGUAAGCGGUUUAACUUUCUUUUCUCGAUUUUUUGCCUUCUCAACCUUUCUUAUUCGCCCCUACUGCUACGUUCGUUUUAAUUAUUCUUUUAAAACCCGCGGAUGUGCGGCUCACAACCUAUCCUGGUAAUAGCGUUCACAAACCGAUCGUCUUCAAAUCAGUCGUCUUCGUAAGCAUCGCCGUUUGUUACAACAUGGAUUUAAUAAACCUUUAUUUUUUCAUAAGAAAUGUUGCUGAAUACACUGUACUAGACACAAGUGUAGUAUUUAAAAUUUCAUCGAAAAGUUAUGGUUACAAAUUACGAGAAAACUUUCUGAAACAAUAUUGGAAAAAUCACGUUAAACACAAAUUGUAGCUACUACCUCAUCAUGUAGCAAUCAAGAAAUGUUGUACAAUAUUGAUAACAGUUCAAACUUUUCACAGGAACCCAAUGUACAAAUGUUCAGUAGCACUUAUAUGUCAAACAUUGAAAAGGUUAUAGUGGAAAAAAAUUUAAUCACUGCAAUUCAUUGAUCCACUCAUUUAAUUUACUUACAAAUUAUAUCAAAGUAUGCUUUGCUG